UACAGAGGUCCCAAGAGUUGUUCGGAUUCACUGGGCGUAAAGGGUGCGUAGGCGGUCGGGUAAGUCUGAUGUGAAAUCUCACAGCUUAACUGUGAAACUGCAUUGGAUACUAUCCGGCUCGAGGAAUGGAGGGGAGACUGGAAUACUUGGUGUAGCAGUGAAAUGCGUAGAUAUCAAGUGGAACACCAGUGGCGAAGGCGAGUCUCUGGACAUUUCCUGACGCUGAGGCACGAAAGCCAGGGGAGCAAACGGG
rnacentral:rRNA from 1 species